rnacentral:snRNA from 1 species
GUGUUGUUCCUCUACGCCUAGGACACCAGA